CGAACGCUGGCGGCGUGCCUAAUACAUGCAAGUCGAACGGUCUUUCUAUGGAAGCUUGCUUCCACUGAGAAGAUAGUGGCGAACGGGUGAGUAACACGUGGGUAACCUGCCCAUAAGAGGGGGAUAACAUCCGGAAACGGGUGCUAAUACCGCAUAGUUUUCUUGAUCGCAUGAUUGAGAAAGGAAAGACGGCCUUUGUGCUGUCGCUUAUGGAUGGACCCGCGGCGUAUUAGUUAGUUGGUGAGGUAACGGCUCACCAAGACGAUGAUACGUAGCCGACCUGAGAGGGUGAUCGGCCACAUUGGGACUGAGACACGGCCCAAACUCCUACGGGAGGCAGCAGUAGGGAAUCUUCCGCAAUGGACGAAAGUCUGACGGAGCAACGCCGCGUGAGUGAAGAAAAGGGUUUUCGGAUCGUAAAACUCUGUUGUCAGAGAAGAACAAGUUGGAGAGUAACUGCUCCAGCCUUGACGGUAUCUGACCAGAAAGCCACGGCUAACUACGUGCCAGCAGCGGC
rnacentral:rRNA from 1 species